CCUGGAGAUGGGGAGGAGCCUCUCUGAAGGAAAGUUUUAGCGCCACCUUCAGCCUGGUUCUGUGACGUCGGCUAAGGAAACAGGUGAUUGAAGAUGCGCCUCCGGUUAUUUUUCCCCUCAGGACCCAGUACUGGGGUGUUUAUUUUAUUGGUCUCGAAUUUUAAAGGGACGCAGUCGCGGGGAGAGUUUCUCCUGAAAAAUCGUACUAACCUUACUGAAUACUAAUUUUUUUGGACGAGAGAACUACUACUUCCUCCGUUCCUGAGUUAGCUGCCGGGCAGUGGUUAAAAACAAAGCGAAACAUUCUGGGAGUUACAGUUCUAGCGCUCCUUGGACCUCGUGGUCUAAGCAAGGGCUCUCUGCAGAGCCCCUCCUGGCUCGCGUGCUGUGGGGGCUGUUCUGGGCCGUUGGAAGGGAUUGUCCUGGGCUAAAGUAUCUAAAGACCCUAGGAUUGCUGCAGGUCAACAGUCCCCACUGGAGAAAAAAAUCUUGAAUCUAGGCGGCGUGCAUACAACAGCAGCAAGACAACUGAUAAUUCAAAAAUAUCAAGAGGAGUAUGAAACACUCAGUAGGGAGCAAGGUCUUUCUCUUGACUACUGGCUUGCCAAAGUGGAGUCUUAUUAGAAUAAAAGAAUAAUGGAAAUGAUGAAAGAACAAGAGACAGGCAAUGAAAUCAAGAAGAGAUUGGAGGGGAAAACAACCCAAAGCAUAGAAGGACAAAAAUGAUAUUAUUUGGUACCUGAGAGAGAAGUGAAACAUGUAGAAAUGCACAUACGUCGAGCAGGACAGGUCGGAGAGUUUAAGAAUAAAACAUUUAGGCAAUUACCACCGUGUCCUAGUGAAAUAAAAUUGCCCAAAAUUGUGCCAGAAGUACAUGGGAUCCAGAACGCACAGAGAAGAAAGCAGGUAAAUGAGAGGGAACAGAUGCAAAUUAAAGCUCACCAGGAAUGCAUGAUUCGAGGAAGAGAACUUGUACAGCAAAAACUCAAGGAAGAAAUCUUGAGAAAAGACCAGAGCCAGCCUCCUAUAUGUGAGAAGCAUGAGAGUGUAAAGAAAGAGAUAAAAGAGUAUGAAAUCGUUAUUGCAUAUCCACUUUUCCAGCCAUGGAGUAGCAGUCGGAUUAAAGUGAAUAUUCUUAUGGAAAAGUCUCAGAAUAGAGAAGACAGUACAAUUAUCAAGCCAUAUCAAAGAAGAUUCUUAACUAUGCCACCCUUUUUAAGAAGUCAAAUAGGAAAAAUAAAAGA